GAUUGAACGCUGGCGGCAUGCUUUACACAUGCAAGUCGAACGGCAGCGCGGGCUUCGGCCUGGCGGCGAGUGGCGAACGGGUGAGUAAUACAUCGGAACGUGCCCAGUAGUGGGGGAUAGCUCGGCGAAAGCCGGAUUAAUACCGCAUACGUCCUGAGGGUGAAAGCGGGGGAUCUUCGGACCUCGCGCUAUUGGAGCGGCCGAUGGCAGAUUAGCUAGUUGGUGGGGUAAAGGCCUACCAAGGCGACGAUCUGUAGCUGGUCUGAGAGGACGACCAGCCACACUGGGACUGAGACACGGCCCAGACUCCUACGGGAGGCAGCAGUGGGGAAUUUUGGACAAUGGGCGAAAGCCUGAUCCAGCAAUGCCGCGUGUGUGAUGAAGGCCUUCGGGUUGUAAAGCACUUUUGGCGGGAACGAAAAGGACUGUGCCAAUACCACGGUUCGAUGACGGUACCCGCAGAAUAAGCACCGGCUAACUACGUG
rnacentral:rRNA from 1 species